ensembl:lncRNA
AAAUAUGUGGUAUAUGAAAGGAAUACUCCACUGUUUUAGAAGCUAGUUUAGUUAACCUAAGGAGUACUACACUGGUUUUGAAAAUGCUUGUAUAAAGUUGUCUCUAGCAUAGAGACUAAAUUUACCAGACCAUAAAAUUAGCAGGAAGGUUGCAAACUCGGGGGUGUGGUGUUAGAAGGACUUCAGUAAUUAGAGGACAGGAGGGUUCUAAUGAAAGAUUUUGCUAAAAACUGGAGGAUCCUAAAAGAACGGCUGCUUGAUUUUGGCAUUUUUUUGUUUUUUAAAUAGUCCCCCAACUUUGUUGAAACACUAACAUGCUGGAAUAUCCCUUAAAUAGGAAGCAUCCAUUUAAAUAUAUCUAUGCUGAAAAUCACACAAAAGCAUCAAACAUGGUGUAAUAAUUGCAUCAACAUCUCCACAUUAUCACACAAAUGUAGUCCAUGUGGUGCGUUAACACGUUUAGUCUUAAGCAAUAAUUAAAGAUCUAAAAUUGUUACCCUUAGCUGUUACCCACCCAGGUACUUACACAGAUUCACAUCGCAGUAUCUUUCACUUCACACUGGACUUGACCAAAAAUGCAGCCUCAUUUAUCAAACUCGUUUCCCAAAAUCCUUCAGACAUUCAUCAGAUUUUUUUUUCUGUCAAUGAUGUGUUUUUGUUUACUAAAUAGAAUGACUUUUUUAACAUUAAAAAAAGAUUCAGUCUCACAGCUGUUUCUUCACUUUUCAUGUUUUACACAAAAGUUGCAGGAAAAUAAUAUUACACCCCGAUGUGUAACUUCUGAAAUUCCAAGGUUUUUAUUUUUUAAGCAACAGUUUCAUUUUUGUUUUCGCAUGAUAAAAAGAUUUUUUUAUAAUGACAAUGAUGAAAAGCGACUAAUUUACUCGAACUCUGCUAAGUACCACUUUGAAGUCUCUGCACUUGACUCAAGUCUUUCCAUGUUAUGUUACUUAACACCAAUUACUAGUUUCUUCAAGGUAAAACCAAACAGAAAGCUUAUUAUAUACAAUGCAUUGCUCAGUGAUUCUCAACCUUUUUAGCUUUUUACAGCUUUACAAGAAACAGCCCCAUUUCAGAUGUCUGUAAUUUGUUCUCAGUUCCGCUACAAUAGAUCUCUCAAACUUCUCGGAAAGUUUGAUUUUAAAAAUGUUUGACGCUUAAAGAGGUUAAAUGAAUAAAUUAAUUUCAAUGCCUUCAAAAAGUAAAUGCAAACUUUUGUAGCAGAACUUGGUUUUUGUUAUUUCCUGCACCAUUAAUUGUUUUAACAUCUGAUUUGUCUUCAGAGGUUCCUCACACAGCCACCAAACUGUAAAAAAAAAACCCAAAAAACUCCGUAUUAACCAACUGCAACUGGAAAAUACUGUUUAUACAUUUAUGUAUUAGUAUUAUAAAGUCACAUGUAGCAAUGAAAUAUCAGUCACAAGACACUGUGCUUCAAUUAUAUUCUUCUGAUCAUACUUUUAUUGUGUGGCUAACUUCUACUGGAAUAUUUAUACAAAACUUACAGUUCUGAGUAUUUCCACUAUUGAUAUCACAUCAUUUCUUAGCAUUUUCUAACCGUAGUACAUAUACAGUUGUGGAAAAAAGUUUUGGGACACCCCAUAUAUUUGUGAAGUAUUGCAUUAAAAAUCACUUUUAGGUCUUCAAGUGUACUUUCUUUUUGUGCAAUCACAGCCAGAAUACUAAACAAAUGCUAAAAAAA